CACCUACCAGGAAUAUAUAUACUUAAUCACUCAGGAUAAAAUCUAAUUUAGGUGUCUAAAUAGAGCCAAAUUAUUAUUUUUUUCGUCUUCUUUUUUACACUGCUGCGGUUGAAUAAAGACGAAACCUCAGCUUUUUUUAGUGGAAACAUAGAAAGCUCAUGUAGAAGCGACCUGUGAAAUUGUCGCAGGUGUUUUCAAUCAGUUAGCAAGCGCCAGAGAGGCAAGGCUGUUGUGCAAAGACGGAGAUGGUGGCUCUGUUCAUUAGCAUCUGGGAAGAGGAAGAAACUGAACAACAAUUUGAGGAAUUAACUUCUACCUUUUACUUCAAAUAUCUUCAACUCUCAUGAGUUCAGAAGUGGCUUUAAUCGUUGCUGAGGACUUCAACAUAUACUUUGAAAACUAAACCUGUGGAGAAACUUUUUCUUAAGACAGUUUGCAGCAGUAUGUGCUGUUUUUCUUAGUUGAGGUGUGGAUGGCGAUGCACAGCUCUGGCUUGGUUCCUCUCCUCUGAGCGCUGCGUUGCCGUGAGGGACACAGGAACAUGAUGGACCAGCAGUGUUGGGAAUCCUGUUAGGGUCUUCACUGUCAGCCGCUAACAUCAUCAGACUCUUCAUCAAGUCAAAUUUUCUGGAUUCUUCUCCUCUCAGUGUAGGACUCAAUCUCUGGAGGAGAAUAGGUGCGAGACGAUCCACCUUCCAAUUCAAAAGGACAUGAGGCCUCAGCAACACAUCACAGAUUUGAAGGUUGUUGCACGAGAAAAAACAAAACAACUUUCACAUUCUGGAGGGUGCUGUGGGACUCGAGCCAAGAAGUCUGUCAUUCACCAUGUAAAAACAAUGCAGCUGCGGUAAAUUAGUGCUGACUGAAUCCUGCUGCUUUCGUUUCAGAGCGCCAGCAUCGCCCAUGUUCUGAGUCCACCGCGCUGCAUCCACCUCAGGAGCAAUGAAGGAUACAGCCAGCACCAGUUGCACAGGAGUCCAUAAAGAAAACAUGACUGAAAUAUCCUAGAAACCAGCCUCACCCAUUUUCUUUAUUGUCCUGCGUCAAGGGAUGCAGCUUUUCUGGAACUCCUCUCGGCCAUAUUAUGACAGCUAAUUAAGAGGAUGACGAGUGCUACUUUGCUCUGAUGUGAUUUUAAAAGAUUAAAGAUGAGAGAUGA